GCUUGUUGGUGGGGUAAAGGCCUACCAAGGCGAUGAUCGAUAGCUGGUCUGAGAGGAUGAUCAGCCACACUGGGACUGAGACACGGCCCAGACUCCUACGGGAGGCAGCAGUGGGGAAUAUUGGACAAUGGGCGAAAGCCUGAUCCAGCAAUGCCGCGUGUGUGAAGAAGGUCUUCGGAUUGUAAAGCACUUUCGACGGGGACGAUGAUGACGGUACCCGUAGAAGAAGCCCCGGCUAACUUCGUGCCAGCAGCCGCGGUAAUACGAAGGGGGCUAGCGUUGCUCGGAAUGACUGGGCGUAAAGGGCGCGUAGGCGGUUCAUACAGUCAGAUGUGAAAUUCCAGGGCUUAACCUUGGGGCUGCAUUUGAUACGUAUGGACUAGAGUGUGAGAGAGGGUUGUGGAAUUCCCAGUGUAGAGGUGAAAUUCGUAGAUAUUGGGAAGAACACCGGUGGCGAAGGCGGCAACCUG
rnacentral:rRNA from 1 species